rnacentral:rRNA from 1 species
CGGGCAGANUAGAGUGCGGUAGGGGAGAUNGGANNNNCUGGUGUAGCGGUGGAAUGCGCAGAUAUCAGGAGGAACACCGAUGGCGAAGGCAGAUCUCUGGGCCGUAACUNGACGCUGAGGANGCGAAAGCAUGGGGANGCAAANCAGGCUUAGAUACCCUGGUAGUCCAUGCCGUAAACGUUGGGAACUAGAUGUGGGGACCAUUCCNCGGUCUCCGUGUCGUAGCUAACGCAUUAAGUUCCCCGCCUGGGGAGUACGGCCGCAAGGCUAAAACUCAAAGGAAUUGACGGGGGCCCGCACAAGCGGCGGAGCAUGCGGAUUAAUUCGAUGCAACGCGAAGAACCUUACCAAGGCUUGACAUAUACGAGAACGCACUGGAGACAGUGAACUCUUUGGNCACUCGUAUACAGGUGGUGCAUGGUUGUCGUCAGCUCGUGUCGUGAGAUGUUGGGUUAAGUCCCGCAACGAGCGCAACCCUCGUCCUAUGUUGCCAGCACGUAAUGGUGGGAACUCAUGGGAUACUGCCGGGGUCAACUCGGAGGAAGGUGGGGAUGAGGUCAAAUCAUCAUGCCCCUUAUGUCUUGGGCUUCACGCAUGCUACAAUGGCCGGUACAAUGGGCUGCGAUACCGUAAGGUGGAGCGAAUCCCAAAAAGCCGGUCUCAGUUCGGAUUGAGGUCUGCAACUCGACCUCAUGAAGUCGGAGUCGCUAGUAAUCGUAGAUCAGCAACGCUACGGUGAAUACGUUCCCGGGCCUUGUACACACCGCCCNUCAANNCANGAAAGUCGGUAACACCCGAAG